rnacentral:snRNA from 1 species
AUCGCUUCUCGGCCUUAUGGCUAAGAUCAAAGGUUAGUAUCUGUUCUUAUCAGAUUAAUAUCUGAUACGUACCCCAUCGGCUUGAAUGACUAGUACACUCACUUAACUUGAUUAAGUGGAUUAGUUAGAACGCGUUCAAGCUGCGGGUAGCGAGCUCUAGCGGAUGGUCCUUUCUUGUACGUUUUGGUUCGCUCCCUU